UUUCGAUGUCUGUUUCUUGCCUUCUUGCUUUCUGCUUUCUGGCUUAUAUAAAUGUUGAUAUAUUAAUAUCAAUUUUUUGCUAAAGUCUGUUUGCUAAGUCUUUUUUAUUCUGAAAAAAAGGGGGAGAACUAAAACAACUAUGAUGAAAACAUAUCUAAUUCUUGUCAAACACUGCAAACAUUUCUCUAAAAAUGACUUAAGAUAUGUAGGAAAGUAGCUAAAAG
rnacentral:lncRNA from 1 species